CCUACGGGAGGCAGCAGUAGGGAAUCUUCCACAAUGGGCGAAAGCCUGAUGGAGCAACGCCGCGUGGGUGAAGAAGGUCUUCGGAUCGUAAAACCCUGUUGUUAGAGAAGAAAGUGCGUGAGAGUAACUGUUCACGUUUCGACGGUAUCUAACCAGAAAGCCACGGCUAACUACGUGCCAGCAGCCGCGGUAAUACGUAGGUGGCAAGCGUUAUCCGGAUUUAUUGGGCGUAAAGGGAACGCAGGCGGUCUUUUAAGUCUGAUGUGAAAGCCUUCGGCUUAACCGGGGGAGGGCAUUGGAAACUGGGAGACUUGAGUGCAGAAGAGGAGAGUGGAACUCCAUGUGUAGCGGUGAAAUGCGUAGAUAUAUGGAAGAACACCAGUGGCGAAAGCGGCUCUCUGGGCUGUAACUGACGCUGAGGUUCGAAAGCGUGGGGAGCAAACAGGAUUAGAUACCCGGGUAGUC
rnacentral:rRNA from 1 species